GACGAACGCUGGCGGCGUGCUUAACACAUGCAAGUCGAACGAUGAACCGGGUGCUUGCACUUGGGGAUUAGUGGCGAACGGGUGAGUAACACGUGAGUAACCUGCCCCGGACUCAGGGAUAACCCCGAGAAAUCGGAGCUAAUACCGGAUAGGACCUUUCCUCGCAUGAGGUUUGGUGGAAAGUUUUUCGGUCUGGGAUGGACUCGCGGCCUAUCAGCUUGUUGGUGAGGUAAUGGCUCACCAAGGCGUCGACGGGUAGCCGGCCUGAGAGGGUGACCGGCCACACUGGGACUGAGACACGGCCCAGACUCCUACGGGAGGCAGCAGUGGGGAAUACUGCACAAUGGGCGCAAGCCUGAUGCAGCAACGCCGCGUGCGGGAUGACGGCCUUCGGGUUGUAAACCGCUUUUAGUAGGGAAGAAGGGCUUCGGCUUGACGGUACCUGCAGAAAAAGGACCGGCUAACUACGUGCCAGCAGCCGCCGUAAAAC
rnacentral:rRNA from 1 species